AUCAAAAGAGAAGGGUUCAAACCUUCAUCUCCGGUCCCCAAAACCGGAAUCUUCCAAUUAAACUACCCUUUG
rnacentral:tRNA from 1 species